UCCCCAACCCCACCAGCCCACAUUGAACCCAAAGCAUGGGCAAGAAAUAAACUUUGGUUGUAUUAAGCCACUGCUAUUUUAUGGUUCUUACCAUAGCACAAUUUAGCCAUCCUGAUAUGUACAAGAAUAAGAAAAAAAUCUGGGCCAGGCACGGUGGCUCACACCUGUAAUUCCAGCACUUUGAGAGGACAAGGAAUGCAGAUCACAAGGAGCUCCUGGAGGGCAAGGAGUGUAUCCUGUUCACAUCUACAUCUGCGACCUCCAGCCCAGUGUUUACCAAUAGAGAGCACAGAAUUGAAGCCUGGUUUCAAAUGGAAUGCAUAUUUCAAAUGCUAGCUCUGUCCCUUACUAGCUAUGUGGCCUCAGGGCCCAGCAAAGAACUUGGCACCUCCAAAGUGGACAUUUACGGAAUGAGUGAACGAACCUGGGCUGGGAUGUAUUAGUCCAUCUGGCCCCAUCUCUCCGAGCAAACGAGAUCUGGCCUGCUUUAUGUCUCUCUCUCCCACAGGGAUAAGCUAAGUGGAGGCCCCACUUGGGCCAAUCUGCCUAGCCUGACUCCAUAGCCUGGUUUUAUUUGCUGGAUUCUCCCUUCAUUAAGACCACGGCACU